GGGGGCAUAGCUCAGCUGGGAGAGCAGCAGACUGAAGUUGCAUCCCAAAAGAAUCGAGUUCUGAAGGUCCCGCGUUCGAUCCGCGGUGCCCCCA